rnacentral:rRNA from 1 species
UGGGGAAUUUUCCGCAAUGGACGCAAGUCUGACGGAGCGACGCUGCGUGAAGGAUGACGGCCCGCGGGUUGUAAACUUCUUUUCUCGAAGAAGAAACAAAUGACGGUAUUCGAGGAAUAAGCAUCGGCUAACUCCGUGCCAGCAGCCGCGGUAAGACGGAGGAUGCAAAGUGUUAUUCGGAAUGAUUGGGCGUAAAGAGUCUGUAGGCCGUAUAGAAAGUCUUUUGUUAAAUGCCUCGGCUCAACCGAGAUCCAGCAAAGGAAACUUCUAUACUUGAGGGAAGUAGAGGUACAGGGAAUUCCCGGUGGAGCGGUGAAAUGCAUAGAUAUUACAUAGAAUACCAAUUGCGA